AUUGAACGCUGGCGGCAGGCCUAACACAUGCAAGUCGAGCGAGCGGCGGACGGGUGAGUAAUGUCUGGGAAACUGCCUGAUGGAGGGGGAUAACUACUGGAAACGGUAGCUAAUACCGCAUACCAUCAGAUGUGCCCAGAUGGGAUUAGCUAGUAGGUGGGGUAACGGCUCACCUAGGCGCCGAUCCCUAGCUGGUCUGAGAGGAUGACCAGCCACACUUGAACUGAGACACGUUCCAGACUCCUACGUGAGGCAGCAGUGGGGAAUGUUGCACAAGGGGCGCAAGCCUGAAGCAGCCAUGCCGCGUGUAUUAAGAAGGCCUUCGGGUUGUAAAGUACUUUCAGCGGGGAGGCGUUACCCGCAGAAGAAGCACCGGCUAACUCCGUGCCAGCAGCCGCGGUAAUUC
rnacentral:rRNA from 1 species